UUAACAGUUCGAAACUUUCUUACAAAACAGAACAACGGUAUGUACACUUGCAGGUUCACUCGAGAGUCGCACUUAAUUAAUAUUACGACAGCCCGACAAAUAACCAUGACUACGGUUGUCUGUGAAAUACCACCAGUAUACGUUCAUACAGAAGCUACUAUUGAACUACUACUAAAGACUAAUUUAGGAACUACAGCUGUACUUUCUUCGGCACCGUUUUUAUAUUUUGAAUGCGGUUACUUCAAAAGGUGUACCGAAUGCGUAAGUACCAGUGGUGCGAACUGCUUCUGGUGUUCAAAAACUGCAACCUGUCAAAUGCCGAAUUCAUGUUCUCUGGAGUCAAUCUCAG